ACCACCACUAAAAGACAAGAAGAAAAUGUUUAUCAAAACCCAUUAAAUUUUUGUUUAAAAAGACCCUGCCAUAGAAAGAUAUUUGUAACAAUUGAAGAGAGAGCGACGAUUAUUUGUUUGAAACUGUAAAUUUUAAUCAUUUGGAAAACGAAACAUAUUUUACAUCACAUCACUCAAUUUUAUUAAAUUGCUUUUUUCUGGCAGCAUCAAAAAUCGUUUUCUAGUAUGUAUUGGUAGACGAGGUAGCAGUGCAUGGAAGGUGCGUAAAAAUAUGCAACAUUUGUAAAGCUGCCAGGCAGCAGAGGAACAGGUUUCAAAAACUACGAACGCUGUUUGAAACUACUUCCUAUCUAUGCUGAUUUCACUCUGUAGCCAUUGUUCCAUUUCUUUGUUAUUUAGCUGCUUAACAAUGUCAUAUAACAAUGUCUAUCCCAUGAACCCCUGAAAAGCACUGCAUUUGCAAAGUGGUUCGCUUUGAAUUAUACGUGAGUUGAACCAAAGCAAGAGACGUCCUCACACUUGACAGCAGGACCAUGAGAGGGAACUCCACAAGGAAAAAUAGACCCAACAAUGCAUGCCAGCAGCUUGAGAAGACAAAGAGUCAUGAUGAUUUUUCAAAAUCUGCUUAACCAAAGAGAUACUAAAAAGACAAGACACUGCAAGGAAACGCGUAUGUGCCCCAUGAAAGAAAUGACAUUCCUGGUGAAUCCUUGAAAACACUGAAAAGGUUCCAUCUCUCGAUCGCAACUGCCAUCAUCAAGCCUCCCAAUACCAGAAUGUUUGUAUCCUUAAAGUACGGAGGAGCUAUGUCCUUCGCAGGCAACACUCGAAGAACAGGGAAGAGAAACAGGGGCAGCAAGGCAGUUACUGUAAGGCAUCACACUCAAAACAGGGAAUAAAAACAAGGGCAAUAGAGCAGUUACUGCCAAGUCGGUGACCUCUGUGCACCAAUAUGUUCCCAUAAUCAAUAUUGCAUAUCCAGUUCUGGCUUCCUGCAAAAUCAAGAUUUUUGUCCUAAAGACACAGAAAAUACUUUAUGGAAAAAUAUUUUCCUUAAGGUGCACACAAGGCGUUGAUCGCUGAAAGGAAAAUGCCGGUGAAUGAAGUCUGUAACAGGAAAAGAAAUGUUGAAUACGAGGAUAAAUAUCGCGCGGGCACUUUCUGCACGAACAGUAUUUGCCUCAAUAUACAAGCAUCGAUUGCAUCUCGAAAUCUGGACUCCGAGUAACGGAUGGACGCUUCUAAACAAGAGCUUCCAUUCACAAAAUUGAGGAACGACUUUGUGAAUGGAAAGACCAGAGAUAUCACCAUCACCUUUCACCUUUGCCUCCUUUUAACGGACGAUGCGAUUUGUUCUGCCAGAAAUGUAUUUUGCAUGUUAUGGUUGUGUGUUUUGUACGGUCUAGCUGUACUAAGCUUGCCCGAACACUUAAUCAAUCUAACUCCGUUCUUAGCUGGCAUUUUUAUAGGGUUUAGGCCCGUUUUAAAAAGUGUAGUUGGAAAUCCGAUAGCUGGAUUGUGAGCUAAUAUUUGGAAUCUGAUAAGAGAUAAUUGCAUAAAUAAAGCAAAAUCGGCAAUCAUAGCCUACC